ACCAAUCUUUAGACACUUAAAUUGUCUAAAUGUAAAGAGAAUUAAUGUCACUACAGGCUGCUAAAGAGCAGAAGUUACUGUUGGCAUGACCUGGCAAUAGCCAGGUAUGCCUGGCUCACUCUAAAAGGGUCUGCAUGUCUCUUCCUCGCUGUCUGAUCCUCUUUCUUACUACCUGCCCCUUCUCCCGCUCCCCCCUUCCUCUCCCCAUGUGUUCCUGGCCUGCUUCUCCCUCUCCUCUCCCCACCUCCCGCCUUUCUCUGCCUCCCACCUUCCCCAUGCCCUAAAUAAACUCCAUACCAUGCCUCAGGGGGAGGGGAUGCCUCAGCGGGGGCCUGUGGAGGCAGCCCUUCCACCUCACCCACCAUACAGCGCCUCUACCAACACGGGUGCUGUGCCUGGGAUUUAGAAACUCACAGGUUGCAUGAGCUCAUAUUUCCGUGCUGCCACAUGGACUUUGCAGCCAUGGGAUGGAUCUCUUGCUAGACCUCUCCACCCAAGCACUGGAGAAUUGGUAAAGCUCCCUACUCUCACUGGUCAGCAUAAACGCCCUCUGGUCCCAAGGGAGGGCUGUUGAGCUUGCAGCCACCCCGUGGUGUCCUGGUCUUCUUACUGAUGCUUCGUUCUCGGACCUCUACCCCUGGGUCCCGUAGCCAUCGCUUGCCGCCAAGCCACGCCCCUCACGCUGCACUGCUUAGAUUCAUCAGUCUCCGAAGAAGAUAUGGGCACAGUGACAAGAUUCUACCUGGACUGUGGUAUGAUAACCACUGAGAAACACUGCUCCAUUGCCUUGCCCACUGUCAAAGCUUGGCCUACACUGUGGAUAAAUAGAGGCUACCCAAAGAA
rnacentral:lncRNA from 1 species